UACAGCCAUAUCACGUUGAAACAACGUUACCCGUACGACCAACAAAGUUAAGCAACGAUAUGGUUGGUCAGUACCUUGAUGGGUGACCGCUUGGGAAUACCAGGUGAUGUAAG